rnacentral:rRNA from 1 species
UACGUAGGUGGCAAGCGUUGUCCGGAUUUACUGGGCGUAAAGGGCGUGCAGGCGGUCUGUUAAGUGCAGGGUGAAAGCUCCCGGCUCAACUGGGAGAGGUCCUUGCAUACUGGCGGACUUGAGGGGGGUAGAGGAAAGUGGAAUUCCCGGUGUAGUGGUGAUAUGCGUAGAUAUCGGGAGGAACACCAGUCGCGAAGGCGCUUUACUGGCUCACUACUGACGCUCAGGAACGAAAGCUAGGGUAGCAAACGGG